GAUGAACGCUGGCGGCGUGCCUAAUACAUGCAAGUCGAGCGAACGGACGAGAAGCUUGAUUCUCUGAUGUUAGCGGCGGACGGGUGAGUAACACGUGGAUAACCUACCUAUAAGACUGGGAUAACUUCGGGAAACCGGAGCUAAUACCGGAUAAUAUUUUGAACCGCAUGGUUCAACAGUGAAAGACGGUCUUGCUGUCACUUAUAGAUGGAUCCGCGCUGCAUUAGCUAGUUGGUAAGGUAACGGCUUACCAAGGCAACGAUGCAUAGCCGACCUGAGAGGGUGAUCGGCCACACUGGAACUGAGACACGGUCCAGACUCCUACGGGAGGCAGCAGUAGGGAAUCUUCCGCAAUGGGCGAAAGCCUGACGGAGCAACGCCGCGUGAGUGAUGAAGGUCUUCGGAUCGUAAAACUCUGUUAUUAGGGAAGAACAUAUGUGUAAGUAACUGUGCACGUCUUGACGGUACCUAAUCAGAAAGCCACGGCUAACUACGUG
rnacentral:rRNA from 1 species